CCCUUAGAUGUUCUGGGCUGCACGCGCGCUACACUGAUGCACUCAACGAGUUUACGACCUUGCCCGAUAGGGUUGGGUAAUCUUUUUAAAUGCAUCGUGAUGGGGAUAGAUUAUUGCAAUUAUUAAUCUUCAACGAGGAAUUCCUAGUAAGCGCGAGUCAUCAGCUCGUGCUGAUUACGUCCCUGCCCUUUGUACACACCGCCCGUCGCUCCUACCGAUUGAGUGCUCAGGUGAAUAAUUCGGACUGCAGCAAUGUUUGGAUCCCGAACGUUGCAGCGGAAAGUUUAGUGAACCUUAUCACUUAGAGGAAGGAGAAGUCGUAACA
rnacentral:rRNA from 1 species